rnacentral:rRNA from 1 species
AGACCCGAAACCCGGUGAUCUAGCCAUGGGCAGGUUGAAGGUUGGGUAACACUAACUGGAGGACCGAACCGACUAAUGUUGAAAAAUUAGCGGAUGACCUGUGGCUGGGGGUGAAAGGCCAAUCAAACCGGGAGAUAGCUGGUUCUCCCCGAAAGCUAUUUAGGUAGCGCCUCGUGAAUUCAUCUCCGGGGGUAGAGCACUGUUUCGGCUAGGGGGCCAUCCCGGCUUACCAACCCGAUGCAAACUGCGAAUACCGGAGAAUGUUAUCACGGGAGACACACGGCGGGUGCUAACGUCCGUCGUGAAGAGGGAAACAACCCAGACCGCCAGCUAAGGUCCCAAAGUCAUGGUUAAGUGGGAAACGAUGUGGGAAGGCCCAGACAGCCAGGAUGUUGGCUUAGAAGCAGCCAUCAUUUAAAGAAAGCGUAAUAGCUCACUGGUCGAGUCGGCCUGCGCGGAAGAUGUAACGGGGCUAAACCAUGCACCGAAGCUGCGGCAGCGACACUCAGGUGUCGUUGGGUAGGGGAGCGUUCUGUAAGCCUGCGAAGGUGGCCUGUGAGGGUUGCUGGAGGUAUCAGAAGUGCGAAUGCUGACAUAAGUAACGAUAAAGCG